rnacentral:SRP_RNA from 1 species
CGUCGGAUCCCUCGCGACGGCCAGCCGCGAACCCCGCCAGGCCCGGAAGGGAGCAACGGUAGCGGCCACGCCGG